rnacentral:misc_RNA from 1 species
UGGUAUUCCUCGAGAUCCCAUACCAUUAACUCCGUUAGUUGUUGACAUAUCAGAGAAAAAAGUUCAAGAAACCAAGAUAUACAUUAAAUUCGAUUACCCGGUCCCAUCAUCAUCACUUCCGUUUGUUUUGGUGGUCAAGUAAACAGUUGGACAAUAACGAUUAUUAUUAAUUUACAUUAUAUGGUAUUCGUCCGAACAAAGAGCAUCAAAACAUUUGGCAAACUAUUAAAAAUCCUUAAUCUUAGCUUCUAAAGCGACGAAGAAAAAAGUUUAGUGCAAGCAAGGGAUUUUGGGUAAUAUUUUUUUUCUUCUGAUUUUUCAGUGCAUGCGUGAAACUGGUUUCCGUUUCCGGUUGUUUUGUGGAUAAGAAAAUUUUAUAAACACAAAUGAACUACAGCAGUUAGAAGAAAAUUGAAAACAAUGUUUUGUGUUUAAAUGAAAUUUUAACGAGAAUGAUCUAGGUUUUUUCAAUGUCGUCUACAGUGGUUUUAACUCAAAUUGAGCAUCAGGCUGAUUGCCUUGAUGAUAAUGAGUCUGAAGAAUACAGAGAAGCAGAUUUAAUUGUCUUUGAUAGCUGCUCUAAAGGAAUAGGCAUUAAAAUUUGUGGUGGGUGUAGUCGGGAUGGUAGAGAGGUUAAUGGUAUUUUCAUCAAGAGAAUUUUACCUGGAGGACUUGCAGAUCAAGAUGGAAGACUGCAGCAAGGAGAUGAAAUCUUAUCUGUCAAUGGUGAAAGUUUCCAAGGAAUUACAAAUGACAGAGCAGUAGCAAUUUUACGGCAAGCUUCUGCAUCUAACCAUGUGGAAAUGGCCAUAGCCCGAGAUGACCAGUCAAAAUCUGAAUUUUUGGAAAUUCUAGAGAAGCAAAAUGGUCUUAGUUUCCCCUUGCACUCCAGUUCCAAUGGAGACCCAAGGAAAGAAAGAAAUUUCGAAGAAUGUCAUGAUGAAUGGUACAUCAGAGCAUGACCGAAGUUCCUGUAGUUCUCCACGCUAUCUAAUGGAAAGCAGUCCUCAACACUCGCCGAGAGAAGAGAUUUUACAUUUCCACCAGAACAACCAGGACCACAUUGUGCCAGAUAGCUUCUCUUCUACGCGGGAACAACACCAGCCUCUCCACCAUUUUGUUCCUAACAGCAGACACAUGAUUCCCAGCAUGGCUUCCACACCUCAUAACAACGCAGGAAAGAUGAGCAGCAACAUAUCAUCUUUAUAUUCUGUGGAUCCAUCACCUGUUCAUGGAAGCAUGACAUCAACCUCUGACCCCUUCACAUCUGUGACAUCUAAUGAAUCGUCCAGGCACAGACACAUGUCAAAAUCACGGAAAUUGUCUCUAGACCCCACUGUGAGACUCAAGAUUGAAAAAUUACAAGUGGCUCUGCGAUAUCUUGGCCUGGAGCCAACUGAGGAACAGGAAGUGUGCCUGAAGGAUCAGCUGACAGUGGACUCUGCUGGAACUGUCAAUUACGGAGAUUUCGUGGCUGUAGUUCGAGAUGUGUUUAAAGAAGAGCUACAAAGGAAGAAAAUUGAUCCUCGUGCCAUGUUGUUUGCAGCCAAUGAUAUUACAGAUUUUGUAGAGCCACCAUCUUUUAAACACUCUGUAAAAAUAUUUAAUACAUGUAUAUGUUUAUUUAAUCCAUUUUAAAAUAUCCAUACAAUGUACUUCGCUGUGGAAAUUUAACAUCUGACAUUUAACUUGAUUUCUUUCAAUUGAUAAUAACAAAAUGAUUUUGUGUCUUGCCUGAAGGUCAGCCACUUCCAUAGUUCUGGUGAUGAGUACAGUGAGAUUCGACAGGACAGGGACAGGUUACAGCUAGAAGUUCAGAGAUUGAGGUUGAAACUUCAAGAAAGUGAAUUUGCCAGAUGUAGAGCAGAAGGGGAGCUUAACAAUAUAAGAAUGGCAACUGAGAGUGCAAUGAAAAAGGUGGAGAUUGCAGAGCGAGCCCAGAGAGAAGCUAGUAAUGUGGAGAAGGACUAUGAAGAGGUGGUGCAACUUCUGGAGGCUGAGGUGGUCAAGUUAAAAGAAGACCGCAAAAUAAAUGUUCCAAGUAAUGCAGAGACUCAACAACAAAUGGCAGUAUUUUCCUGUCAAUUGAAAAAAUUAGAAGCAGAAAAGAAGACUUAUGAAGUAGCAACUGAAAAAUUGUUACAGUUUGCAGAGAAUGUACAUGAAGCCAUGGUGUCACAAGGGAACAAUUUAGGGGCAACGAAAGGAGACCCAGCUAGAGGGAAUCGUCCACCAGCGUACCUGGGCAGACACAAACAAACCAACCCUAAAACCAUCGCAGCCGAGGCUAAGGAAGUUGUGACUGCUGUUAGGGCCAUCAUUGAGAAAGAUCCUCUACCAUAUGGAUGGGAAGAGGCAUAUACAGCAGAUGGCUUGAGAUAUUACAUAAACCAUGUUACAAAAACUACUACCUGGUCACAUCCCAAAACAGGCGUCCAGCACAUGAUGUCUUCUCUCGAGCCCAAGUCAGCUGCUCCCAGGAAACUCUCAGCCUAACUGUGCCAUUAUGUUCUUACCUAAUGAGUCUCCACAAAUCAAGGAACAUAGAAGCCUUGGCUUGUUUUACUUUUAAUCAUAUCUGUCUGAUGACAUUAUUUCUGUGUCAACUUGAACAAACAUAUUUACAUAUAUUUAUGGGGUAUGUAGCCUCCUUUAAACUAUGCAAUAGUGUAUUGUGCACCUCGGUGAGUUGGUUGCUUUAUUUUUGAUAAUGAUAACAAUGUUUUUGUACAAUGGACAUUUCUACUCUAAUUUUCUGCAAGUCUUCCAUUUUUUUUUCUAUUGUGUGUAGGGCAUAUACAUUUAUUAUGAUGGUCCAAAGAUCUGGAAAAAUGACUUUCGUAACAUCAGUCAAUGAUGUUUAUGAUCCCUGUUUUUCAACUUCUAUUUGUUCAAUUUACAAGUUUGUAAAUGUUGAAAAUAUUUUAGUGGAGACAGCUAAAUUGACUUCAACUGCUAAUAGUCAUUAGAAACAUAGUUAAAUUUCAAGAAUCUCCAUAUCAAAUAAUGCAUAAUUACAGAUACAGAAGAUGUAUAAUGGAUCCAUUUUUUUAACUACAAGAACAUAUACAUCUAUUUUGGGGUAUUUUUCUGGUUAAAAAUGACCAAAUUAGAUUUUUUAAUGCAUAUAUUUUUAUAUAUCCCAUGUCCCAACAACUUUUAAAAGCACUGUCAAAGAAUAACAAUGAUUGGUUGUGGAAUGUUGUCAAACAUAUUGAAAUGUUGCAGCUUUUAAUGUAGAUGUGAAAUCAUUUUUACUUCUUUUGUUUUUUUUUUACCAGUUGUCCUGAGUUCAGAAAUUCUUAGUCUGUUAAGGAUCUGAUGGAUUUUAGAGUUGUGAUACGAAGUCUAGUCAUAAACAGGUUGUACCUCAAUUUUUCUGACAGAUUAAACUAUAUCUGCCCCAACUGAUUUGCCUGCUACAAUGCUGAUUCAUCAGUGACAAUGUAUUUGUGGAAAUAGUUAUGCAAAAAUAUGUUGUUCUUUUUUGAAUAAGUAUUUUUGGAAGUGAUUGUUCCUUGGAAUUUAUGCGUUUGAAAUGAGAUAUAAAGGACUUUUGCUUAUUUGGAUGUUAAAGUGUAAAAGUCAUAUUUAAUCAUGAAAUGGUUGGACUGGUACAUUUAUCUGCUAGCAAUUUUGUAAAUUUAUAUUAACUUUUCUUCCUGUUUCCAUAAAUUUGGAUUAUGCAAAACUGAUUGCAAACUGCAAAUUAAAAACAAGAAUGCAGCAUCCUUUCAAUAUGUGGACUUUGAAUCAGAGUUUAUACUUUAGUUUAAACAAAUUAGAAAUAUUAACAAUUUUGUGUACUCUAAAUUACAACAAAUCUACCGAUACUUGUGAUAUUCCUAAGUAGUUAGUUUACAUACUAUGCCUAUUUUAUAAUGAUCUUAUCCUGUCUCUGAGAUUUUCCUCCGUCCCACUGGAUUCAAUUUUCAAAAUUGAAAAAGAAUAAAUGCUUAUCACAUAUUUAAAGUGGUUGCCUUUAUUUAUUUUGUAUAAUGGUAUUGCUUUUAGGAUUUGAGGGCAGGAAAUUGCGAAGCUGCAAAUCUGUAACUCAAGGGCUCUUCAGCUAGGCCAGUAAUUUAAAGGUUCCUGGUUCAAGCCCAGCUGUGGUCACUUCAUGUUGUAUCACUUGUGUGUCGUGUCCUUGAAAAAGAAACUUUACCUGCAUUGUCUUGGUCCACUUAGCUGAAAUUGGGCACAGGCUUAUGCUGAGGGUUAACCUGCAAUGGACUGGUGUAAUGACUUCCAUCUGCUUAGCCUUAGCACCAUAAAAACCAAGAUAAAGCACAGGUCCUUUGCACCUUCAUGCUUGGAGAAGGAUUUAAUUUUAGAGCAGUUACAAAUUUUUAUGAAGAAAUUUUUACAGUAAUAAGAAAGGAUAAUUGUUUCAAAAUUAGUGGAGUUUUUAUGCACUAUAAAUUGCAAGGUUUUUGUAUGUAAGAACUGAUCGAAGCCCUUUGACUUGUCAACCUUAAUUUUUCCCGUAGCUACUUAUAUACAGAUAUGCAGGCAAAUGUCAGAAGAACAAAGUAGAACAGGAAAAAAUGUCCAAAGGUUUUAUAUUUUCAAAUGAGAUAUAAUCUGCAUGCACACAUUUUCAAGAUCCAGAGUUGUUAAGUUCUGAUUAAAAAUGAUCUGUGUAAAUUAUAAAAAAAAAAAUAGACACCUUGAGAAGGUGACCUUAUCAUAUGACCCUGCUUUCAGAAGGACAUUAGGAUCAAAAGCAUAUAAGAGAUCUUUGCUUUGAUCUCUGAUUCUUUUACUUUUUAGUUCAAGGUCAUUGCACAUCCUUAAUCCAACAGCACUUUAUUUUGUAAUAUACUGCAAUAAUGAAAGGGGGGGGGGGGGGUAGUAGGGUCAAGACAAGGAUUUUAAACAAAGGCCUACUAUGACCUUGACAUAGAUACAUAAUGCAAGGUCAAUGCAACUCUCCUACCUAUAGAUAAUCUUUUGGUAAAGAAUCAGCAAGAAUUUACGACAAAAAUCUGGAUUUUAAAAUAUCUCUUAUGAUGUCUACCUUUUACCUAGAAAUGCAUUAGGUUCAAGGUCACUAUAACCCUUU